rnacentral:rRNA from 1 species
CCUACGGGAGGCAGCAGUGGGGGAUAUUGCACAAUGGGGGAAACCCUGAUGCAGCGACGCCGCGUGAGCGAAGAAGUAUCUCGGUAUGUAAAGCUCUAUCGGCAGGGAAGAAGAUGACGGUACCUGACUAAGAAGCUCCGGCUAAAUACGUGCCAGCAGCCGCGGUAAU